AACCAUUCAGCCCAUCUAGUCUACCCAGACAGUCACACAUAAGCAGUCACACACACAGGCAGUCACACACACACAGGCAGACAGUUACACACACACACAGGCAGAUAGUCUCACACACAGUCAUAAACACAGACACAGUCAGACACGCAGGCAGACAAUCAUACACACAGGUAGACAGUCAAACACAGACAGUCACACACACAGGCAGACAGUAACAACCACAGGCAGACAGUCAAACACACAGACAAACACACGGACAGUCAAACACACCCACACACACACAC